rnacentral:rRNA from 1 species
GAUGGACGCUGGCGGCGUGCCUAAUACAUGCAAGUCGAGCGAACAGACGAGGAGCUUGCUCCUUCGACGUUAGCGGCGGACGGGUGAGUAACACGUAGGUAACCUACCUAUAAGACUGGGAUAACUUCGGGAAACCGGAGCUAAUACCGGAUAAUAUUUCGAACCGCAUGGUUCGAUAGUGAAAGAUGGCUUUGCUAUCACUUAUAGAUGGACCUGCGCCGUAUUAGCUAGUUGGUAAGGUAACGGCUUACCAAGGCAACGAUACGUAGCCGACCUGAGAGGGUGAUCGGCCACACUGGAACUGAGACACGGUCCAGACUCCUACGGGAGGCAGCAGUAGGGAAUCUUCCGCAAUGGGCGAAAGCCUGACGGAGCAACGCCGCGUGAGUGAUGAAGGUCUUCGGAUCGUAAAACUCUGUUAUUAGGGAAGAACAAACGUGUAAGUAACUGUGCACGUCUUGACGGUACCUAAUCAGAAAGCCACGGCUAACUACGUG